CCGAGCGCUCGGGGUCCCUUUGGGGGCUCCUGCCUCACAUCCCGUGCCCGAACACCUCUCCUGCCUCGGCGGGUGCCCCCGUGGCCCCGCCGGACGAGGCUACCCAAACCCGUGUCAAAGUUGCCGUCAGAGGGUAUAAAUACCAACCAUGAAA
rnacentral:misc_RNA from 1 species